GCCUCCUUUGCUGCCCCUCCAAUAUUUGGACCGAUCUGUCCGUUUAUUCAUUUGCUGACAGGAAGUUGCACUGCAUCUAGGUGGAAUUGGGAAUCUGAUUAUUUGGCAGUGCAGUCAUUUAUCAGUUCACAGCCUUCUGACUCAUCAGCAUUGUACCUGGAGUGACACUCGCUGCUGUUUUGCCUACUUAGAAAUUGUUUUAAAAUACUAAUCUGCACUUUCCCUGGGGAUAAAGUGCAACCUUGUAGAGCUAUUGUAUCACUGUUUUACUUGUAUUGUUUCGUUUUUUUUUUUGUCUUUCUUUUAGGGACUGAGGCUUCUGUGGUGGCGGUGGUGACCCCUGGUGGCGGUGUCUUGUCUUGUGUGUUUUGUUGGAGCACCUUUUCUUUCUUUGUUUGCUGUGUUUUUGUAGUGUCCAGGGUGGUCCCCUUUUCUGCACUGGAUGUUGCCCCUUCCCUCACUACUUCCCCCAUUGCUAAGCCUCA